AUUGAACGCUGGCGGCAUGCCUUACACAUGCAAGUCGAACGGCAGCACGGGUGCUUGCACCUGGUGGCGAGUGGCGAACGGGUGAGUAAUACAUCGGAACAUGUCCUGUAGUGGGGGAUAGCCCGGCGAAAGCCGGAUUAAUACCGCAUACGAUCUACGGAUGAAAGCGGGGGACCUUCGGGCCUCGCGCUAUAGGGUUGGCCGAUGGCUGAUUAGCUAUUUGGUGGGGUAAAGGCCUACCAAGGCGACGAUCAGUAGCUGGUCUGAGAGGCCGACCAGCCACACUGGGACUGAGACACGGCCCAGACUCCUACGGGAGGCAGCAGUGGGGAAUUUUGGACAAUGGGCGAAAGCCUGAUCCAGCAAUGCCGCGUGUGUGAAGAAGGCCUUCGGGUUGUAAAGCACUUUUGUCCGGAAAGAAAUCCUUGGCCCUAAUACGGUCGGGGGAUGACGGUACCGGAAGAAUAAGCACCGGCUAACUACGUG
rnacentral:rRNA from 1 species